AUGAUCAUGGUUGGGCUUUCCGGUGACCAGCCCUCAUCUAGGAGCCGGGCAAGAAUUGCCUUGGUAGAACAAAGGCCUGCUCCUAUCACUCAGGAAAGUCCACGGGAUUUAAGAGCUCCAUGUCAGGAACGAGAGCAAAGACCAAACAUUAGAACCAAAGAUUCUCCUAGCACCCCUGUAACUCAGGAAAUUACAAGGGUGUUGGGAGCUCUAGGCCAGAGACUAGAGGCAGAGACCAUAUAUAUAUUUCUUAUUUCACAACAGGAAAGGAGAGAAGGUCUCUGAGGAAGUGACAUUCCAGUUGAGACGUGAAGGAUAAGUAAAAACCAAGCAGAAGAAUUGGAAGAGGAAAGGGAAGAGGGAAAAGCCUGUGCCAAUGCCCUGAGAUUGGAAUAUGCUUUUUGUGUUUAAGAAACUAACAGAAGAUCUUGGGGACUGAGCCAGAGAGAAGACCAGGCUCCAGGAACAAGAUACUGUCCAGAAAUGGUUUAUUCAUAGCAACUUCAAGGAGAAGCACAUCUCUGGCUGCCCUCAGUACACUAAGAGAAUCAGACCCCAGAGGUGGCUG
rnacentral:sRNA from 1 species